GCUGCGGGUUCGAACCCCGUCAGUCCCG
rnacentral:tRNA from 1 species